rnacentral:snoRNA from 1 species
AAUAAUUGUUAGAAAAAAACUUUUACACAACUGCAUACAAGAGCAACCCGGAGAUACUUUGAUAGCUCAGGUUACCACAAUACCUGCAGCUGCAACUCACCUUUCUUAUAAUG